GGGGGUGUUCCGGAUUCGACUCGGAGCUGUAGGUUAUGGCUGCAGGACGGAGAUGAUGGUUGGCUCCGUUACCAAAUCCAUCACAUUACAAAUGGCGAAAAAAACAUCGUCGAGUUCGCCCCACAAGGCGAACUCCUGGCUGCUUAGUUCAGUCACGUCUCACCCCGGAUGCUCGUUAAGGGAAUGAGGCGUAAGCUAGCGAGUAUAGUUUGCGGCGGGUGACCGGUCGUAAACCGUAAUAAACAGGUUAAUCGGGUUCAUGUAGCGUGUCAGUUCGCGCCAUGACCCCAAACUCAAACAACUGACUAUUUCUGUAGACGCUAUAAUUGAAACCUCCGGACACGCGGGUUCGACUCCCGCCACCUCCACCA
rnacentral:tmRNA from 1 species